rnacentral:lncRNA from 1 species
UGGCUGUGCCUGUAGCCAUUUUACAAGGAUGAGUUUCUUAAUGAAUAGCGGUUCUUCAAGCUUGCUCUGGAUCCAGGAGGGGAUAUGAGGAGUAAUUAGCUCUGAAGGCAUAGUCAAAAAUAUAAAAUUUGCACUCAAGCCAGGAACUUUAUUUGCAUAUGAAAUAAAUCGUGGGGUUAUGCUCGUGUCUCAGAGUCUCUGGUUAUCCUAAUCAGUAAAGAAAACGAAACCAGAUGUUUUCAUUUAAGUGUUGAAUUGUGUUAGUAUUAAAAUAAAAAUCAAGCUGAAGUAUCGCUCUAAACCCAAUCUAAUCAUUCCCCCAGAUAGAAUUCUCUGAAAGGCUCGUGGAGUUUUGAGAGUGGACUCCAGCGUGUUGCUGAAUUUUGCAGUUUGCUGCGAGCUGCGCACACAUUUCAUCUGAGGUUUCUGGUGAGACAAAUGCCCCAUGCAUUGUCCUUUGGGCCACUUCAGCCUUGAUCAAGUACUUAAUUAUAUAAAAGAAGAUGGAGAAUUUAAGAGAAAGGAUUCCACAGUGAAAAUGAAGGAUUAUUUUACCACUAAACACAACAUGAACUCCAUCCUUGCUUUGAUUUUGGAAGCUGACUGUAAUCUGAAGCAAUUAUCCUGACCUCCAGCUGAGCCUGAGUUCUCCUGUUCUUAGCCUCCAGGACCAGAAGCCUCUCACGGCAGGAUGGUGGGUAAAUGGCAUGACCUUCAAAAGCCCAUGCUGACUUCGCACACUGAGGAAUGAGCCUCCCUCUUAUGACAGUCUCACAUGAGAAAUGCUCACAAUGUUAAGCAUACCUCAGAUGCUCAGUCUGCUGAAAACAACAGCUUCAUCAGGGGAGCAGCUCAUGCUACUCCCAUCUGGCUGCAGACUCUAGCUGUAGUAACUUUUUAGACUAGUUUUCCACCCUUGCUCUUGUUCAUUGUUACUGCCCCAUUGUUGCCAGGGGAAGGCUAUCACUCAUUUGUGGAUCACUUAGCUAGAUUGUGCUGUGCUGACAGCAAUGGGAGGCUGGACUGUCCUGCUGUGAUGGAGUGAUGAUGUCUGUAGGUGGCCAGUAGGCUUUCUAGAAGAGUGGGUGCUUAGUGCUCCAGCUGAGUUUCUAGAUGCUUUGUACACCUACACACUUAGCAUAUCCUCUAAACCCACCACAUCUGUGUAGCCUGCAUCCCUGAAUGAGCUGCUCUCUGGAACUGGAAGCAUCCUCUUCUAAUUUCUAAGUGUUUCCAGUUAUGGGUCCUGUCUACUUAAGGGUCAGUUCUACUCUUCAUGUGGCCCAAGCUAAAUAUUAAGUCAUGGAAAAACAAUGUGUGCCUAUUUUUAGAUAUUUUCAUCUGUUAACUUUCUCUGUGGUGCUAUAUACUCUGGAGACAGCUUGUCUGCUCUCUACCUCUGGGGUAUUUCUGAAUACCUAAGAAAAAAUGGUUUCCUUGAAUUUUAAAUUGAAUAUAUUUGCUAAUGAAACCAAGCUCCCAAAUGAUUUUUGAGUGAAUGAUAUGUGGAAUCAAUUCCAGUAUUACAGUCACUUCUUCCCCCCUCCACUUGAGAACUGGGUCCAAUUCCAUAAAAUAUGUAUUUAGUUAUAAAAAUGAAAAUUUCAAU